GUCUACGGCCAUGCCACCCUGAACAAGCCCGAUGUCUGAUCUCGGAACUUAGCAGGGUUGGGCCUGGUUAGUACUUGAAUGAGAGACCACCUAGAAAGACCAGGUGCUAUAGGCA
rnacentral:rRNA from 1 species